UCAAGUUGCAUAUUAGUCAUGAAAAAAAGAAGCUUAAACUCAAAAGAAGGUAACUAGUACGGCAAUGAGGGUCUGGCUCAGGACAACGCUUUAUACAGACAUUAGUUACAAAGUAAUUUCAAGCUAACAUCCAAAGAAUAGUAAUUAGUACAUAAUAAUGGCACAUUACAGGGUUUACGUUAUAUUUAGAAGGUUGGUGGGAAAGAAAAGACAACAAAAAUGAAAGGAUUCUCUUCUUUCCAAGAACGAGAACUUUCAAGUAUUUAGGAGCCAAAGUGCACCAGGAAAGCUUCUAAAUGACGCUUCUUGAACCCAAGUGGCGCAAGAACCUUGAAACACUAUAUAUUUUGACCCUAUCAAUUGGUAAUUCCAUAAUUAGAGCUCAACAAUCAUAAAUUUCCUUCAAAACGCUAGCCGAAAUGAUACAACAUGACAACUGAACUAUAGAAAAAGAAAACACAUUAAUAGAAUAAUGAGAAAAACAACUAUAGGCAGAAGCUUUCUUCACACAGUUGAGCUAUUAAAGCUUCUAUAAGCGUCAUAGUCAGCCAAAGAUGCACAUUUAAAACUAUGAGUAAAUAUAUUUGUUCACAUCCUUUUAUUGCUCUUAGUAGUUGUCCUGUGAAGAUUAAACUUAAGUGUGUGUUAUUGUUUUUGAAAAUUAGUACUGUAAACUUAAACUAAGUGUUAGACCAAUCACACAUCUCCAGUGGCAUCAUAAGAAUUUUUCUACAGUCAUUAAAUCUAUAAUUCCCAAGGAAAGUAAAUAGUAGUCUCAAGACCAUAGAAAUUAUGUUCCGGGAUACACUGGAAAGUGCUUAUUUUCAUUUUAAACUCAAUCUGUACAAGA
rnacentral:lncRNA from 1 species